rnacentral:tRNA from 1 species
GGGAGUUUAGCUCAGUGAUAGAGUACUUGGCUAGCAUGCAGGAAGUCCUGGGAUCCAUCCUCAGUACUUCCC